UGCAAGUCGAACGUGAAAGCACUUCGGUGUGAGUAGAGUGGCGGACGGGUGAGUAACGCGUGGGAAUCUGCCCAGUAGUGGGGGACAACUACCGGAAACGGUAGCUAAUACCGCAUACGCCCUAUGGGGGAAAGGCUUCGGCCGCUAUUGGAUGAGCCCGCGUCAGAUUAGCUAGUUGGUAGGGUAAAGGCCUACCAAGGCAACGAUCUGUAGCUGGUCUGAGAGGACGAACAGCCACACUGGGACUGAGACACGGCCCAGACUCCUACGGGAGGCAGCAGUGGGGAAUAUUGGACAAUGGGCGAAAGCCUGAUCCAGCAAUGCCGCGUGUGUGAAGAAGGCCUGCGGGUUGUAAAGCACUUUCAGUUGGGAAGAUGAUGACGUUACCAACAGAAGAAGCACCGGCUAAAUCCGUGCCAGCAGCCGCGGUAAUACGGAUGGUGCGAGCGUUAAUCGGAAUUACUGGGCGUAAAGCGCGCGUAGGCGGCUAAGUCAGUCAGAAGUGAAAGCCCCGGGCUCAACCUGGGAAUUGCUUUUGAUACUGCUUGGCUAGAGUUUGGUAGAGGAUAGUGGAAUUCCAGGUGUAGCGGUGAAAUGCGUAGAUAUCUGGAGGAACAUCAGUGGCGAAGGCGACUGUCUGGACCAAAACUGACGCUGAGGUGCGAAAGCGUGGGUAGCAAACAGGAUUAGAUACCCUGGUAGAAGGGC
rnacentral:rRNA from 1 species